ACGGGUGAGUAAUAUAUCGGAACGUGCCCAGUUGUGGGGGAUAGCCCGGCGAAAGCCGGAUUAAUACCGCAUACGACCUGAGGGUGAAAGCGGGGGAUCGCAAGACCUCGCGCAAUUGGAGCGGCCGAUAUCAGAUUAGCUAGUUGGUGGGGUAAAGGCCUACCAAGGCGACGAUCUGUAGCUGGUCUGAGAGGACGACCAGCCACACUGGGACUGAGACACGGCCCAGACUCCUACGGGAGGCAGCAGUGGGGAAUUUUGGACAAUGGGCGCAAGCCUGAUCCAGCCAUGCCGCGUGCGGGAAGAAGGCCUUCGGGUUGUAAACCGCUUUUGUCAGGGAAGAAACGGUCUGAUCUAAUAAAUUGGACUAAUGACGGUACCUGAAGAAUAAGCACCGGCUAACUACGUGCCAGCAGCCGCGGUAAUACGUAGGGUGCAAGCGUUAAUCGGAAUUACUGGGCGUAAAGCGUGCGCAGGCGGCUAUGCAAGACAGAUGUGAAAUCCCCGGGCUCAACCUGGGAACUGCAUUUGUGACUGCAUGGCUAGAGUACGGUAGAGGGGGAUGGAAUUCCGCGUGUAGCAGUG
rnacentral:rRNA from 8 species